CAGCAGUAGCCGCGGUAAAACGAGGGGGGCAAGCGUUGUUCGGAAUUAUUGGGCGUAAAGGGCGCGUAGGCGGUUUGGCAAGUUUGGUGUGAAAUCUUCGGGCUCAACUCGAAGUCUGCACCGAAAACUGCCGGGCUUGAGCAUGGGAGAGGUGAGUGGAAUUUCCGGUGUAGCGGUGAAAUGCGUAGAUAUCGGAAGGAACACCUGUGGCGAAAGCGGCUCACUGGACCAUUACUGACGCUGAGGCGCGAAAGCUAGGGGAGCAAACAGGAUUAGAUACCCCCGUAGUCCCUGUCUCUUAUAC
rnacentral:rRNA from 1 species